rnacentral:ncRNA from 1 species
UGGAGCUGGUAAUAAUAAGCUAUAUGUGCCUAGAUGCUCCUGAGUGGUUCACUCAGUCCGAGUCUAGGAACAACACAUAUAGCACCGCCGCUCCU